CCCUAAUCACUUUCAUUUCUUCCUCUUCCACUUUCUACAUCUCUCUGGUGAUAAAGUCAUUUUGAAACUGAAAAAAUCUGUCUCAUCAAAUCAUCAUCAUAAUCACCUUUCUUCUUCUUCCGUAAGCUACUCAAUUUUCUUCCAACUAUUUCUAUCUCCUUCUCAGAGAAACAAAACAACUUAAACCCUCCAAAAUCCAGAAACCUAGUCAAGCUUCCUCUCUUUCCCACUACCUCUCGUUCUAUUAUCCGGCAUAAGAAUCCUCCUUCAGAUCUAGUCGUUCGUCCGUCAUUGUCGUCUCCACUUCUUCAGAUCUGAUUCUCGCAGUUCUUCAAAUCAUUUAUGUUCUUGCUUCUUCGAUUUGUGUUUCAUUUCUAAGAUCUAUCUAGAAGGUAAAUGAGAUGUUUUUAAGAACAAUUUGUAGAUCUAAUUUUUAUUUGCCUUUUCAACUUCCAGAUCUGAACAUUGACAUUUCCAUUCCACACUAGUAGUAGGUAUCUUUGCUCAAUGGUAUACGAUUCUCACUUUUCUUCAACUUUUUUGAAUCUGAUUUUGGUUCAUGUGAUUGGUCGUUUAAUUGGCUUGGACGAGGAAGAAGGCGAGGUACCUUGAAGUUUUGUGGGAAAAAAUGGAUUUUUUUUUAAGUACUUCAAACUGGUGUUGUGAGCUCUGCUUCUGGUUCUGGUUAUGCUGAGUUUGGAAACACAAAAGUCAUUGUUUCAGUGAGCGUAUUAUUAGAUAACACUUCUCCGUCAGUGUUCAUUUUGAUUUAAAAGCAUAUCUUCAAAGCUUCAAGUUUAUUAGCUUAGUAGAACCAGUCACGAGCUGCAAGUGCUUUUGUUAACGCCAAAGCCUGCAUACUCUCUAUAAUUCUCUUUCGCCCCUUUUCUAAUGUGACAACAGCUUGGUCUGAUUUGGUUAUGGGUUUUAUGCAGAACGGUAUGACACCAUUGCAGAAGAAGUUACAAAGAUCAGAAGUCCACUAUGAAUUUGUCGUAGAAAAAGUUUGAAGAUAUGAAGAUAUGUAUUUGAGAGACGUAUCUCUUUUUCCAAGCUUUUGUAAUUUUUUUCAUUCUUAACUGGGUUUUAAUUUGGUAACUAAACGUUCGGUUCUCAUAGUGAAUGAUGCAAAUUAAGAAAGACAACGCCAAAGUGGCAAAGCCGUAUUUGAGUUUUACACAUUGUGAGUUCAAGGAAUUUGUAAAUCGUGUCACUUGCAGUUUAUGCAAAAUGUGAACAAUCGUGUCAAUUGCAGAUACAUUUAUCAACA